rnacentral:rRNA from 1 species
CAGAAGAAGGACCGGCCAACUACGUGCCAGCAGCCGCGGUAAUACGUAGGGUCCGAGCGUUGUCCGGAAUUACUGGGCGUAAAGAGCUCGUAGGUGGUUUGUCGCGUUGUUCGUGAAAACUCACAGCUUAACUGUGGGCGUGCGGGCGAUACGGGCAGACUGGAGUACUGUAGGGGAGACUGGAAUUCCUGGUGUAGCGGUGGAAUGCGCAGAUAUCAGGAGGAACACCGGUGGCGAAGGCGGGUCUCUGGGCAGUAACUGACGCUGAGGAGCGAAAGCGUGGGGAGCGAACAGGAUUAGAUACCCCGGUAGUC